AAAUAUGUGCCACCAAAUAUGUAAGCUGAAUAUGUGUUGGAAUCUGCGUAUCUAUUUAAAAAUUUUCAUGCAAUUUUCAUGUAAGCUGAAUAUGUGCUAUAUACGGACAUCCUCAACAAAUCAAACUUGACGAGUCAAUUGUUUGCAUAUAUUUUUUGCUAUCUUGCCUAAUUUAAAACUUCUAGCAUACAAUAUAUAAAGUGAACUCUGGGCGAUCCACCAUCACCUAGAGUUCUAAUCAUCUCGCAUGCAAUCACAUGACAUGAUAUUUUAUAUUCUAUUAUUGAUCAGGAUUUGGGACUCUCUCAAGGAUCUGACAGUCAAUUAAUUCUAUUCUUUUUCUUUGUAAUUUUAUCUGGACUCUCAAAAGUGAUACAAAGAUCCUAAACCGUUUAUAUUUACUCUCAUAUCUUAGAGAGGGAGCAAGAGUGUAAACUCUAAAAUUUCUCAAGAAAGCUAAUAUAUAUAUAUAUAGGGUUUUUUGCAUGAAUACCCUCCUAAAUAUCGAAUUUUGUAUGAAUAUCCUUCCAAAAUUGAUAUUUGUACGUAUACCCUUGUCAAACACUUGCUUUGUCAUUCUACUUUUU
rnacentral:lncRNA from 1 species